GCCUACUAGCUUAACGGUAAAGCACCCCCUCCACAAAUUGCUAAUUCCAUUUCAAUUUGUGAAGGUGUGAUUGUGGGUUCGAGUCCCGCAGUAGGCG
rnacentral:tRNA from 1 species